GAUGAACGCUGGCGGCGUGCCUAAUACAUGCAAGUCGAGCGAACUGAUUAGAAGCUUGCUUCUAUGACGUUAGCGGCGGACGGGUGAGUAACACGUGGGCAACCUGCCUGUAAGACUGGGAUAACUUCGGGAAACCGAAGCUAAUACCGGAUAGGAUCUUCUCCUUCAUGGGAGAUGAUUGAAAGAUGGUUUCGGCUAUCACUUACAGAUGGGCCCGCGGUGCAUUAGCUAGUUGGUGAGGUAACGGCUCACCAAGGCAACGAUGCAUAGCCGACAUGAGAGGGUGAUCGGCCACACUGGGACUGAGACACGGCCCAGACUCCUACGGGAGGCAGCAGUAGGGAAUCUUCCGCAAUGGACGAAAGUCUGACGGAGCAACGCCGCGUGAGCGAUGAAGGCUUUCGGGUCGUAAAACUCUGUUGUUAGGGAAGAACAAGUACGAGAGUAACUGCUCGUACCUUGACGGUACCUAACCAGAAAGCCACGGCUAACUACGUGCCAGCAGCCGCGGUAA
rnacentral:rRNA from 1 species